rnacentral:rRNA from 1 species
GCGGCGGACGGGUGAGUAAUGCUUAGGAAUCUGCCUAUUAGUGGGGGACAACAUCUCGAAAGGGAUGCUAAUACCGCAUACGUCCUACGGGAGAAAGCAGGGGAUCUUCGGACCUUGCGCUAAUAGAUGAGCCUAAGUCGGAUUAGCUAGUUGGUGGGGUAAAGGCCUACCAAGGCGACGAUCUGUAGCGGGUCUGAGAGGAUGAUCCGCCACACUGGGACUGAGCCACGGCCCAGACUCCUACGGGAGGCAGCAGUGGGGAAUAUUGGACAAUGGGGGGAACCCUGAUCCAGCCAUGCCGCGUGUGUGAAGAAGGCCUUAUGGUUGUAAAGCACUUUAAGCGAGGAGGAGGCUACUUUAGUUAAUACCUAGAGAUAGUGGACGUUACUCGCAGAAUAAGCACCGGCUAACUCUGUGCCAGCAGCCGCGGUAAUACAGAGGGUGCAAGCGUUAAUCGGAUUUACUGGGCGUAAAGCGCGCGUAGGCGGCUAAUUAAGUCAAAUGUGAAAUCCCCGAGCUUAACUUGGGAAUUGCAUUCGAUACUGGUUAGCUAGAGUGUG